AGCUCCUGUCCCAGAGCCUGAGCUCCUGUCCCAGGGCAGAGCCUGAGCUCCUGUCCCAGAGCAGAGCCUGAGCUCCUGUCCCAGGGCAGAGCCUGAGCUCCUGUCCCAGAGCCUGAGCUCCUAGUCCAGAGCCUGAGCUCUCUUCUGGGAGUUGGGCUCACAGCCUCCUGUCAAUUAAUGCUGUUUUUCCAGAAAGAUCCCUUAACAUUGUCUUCAUCAUGACUAGAUGGUGUUGGCCGUGCCACUGUUCUGGAGUCCCCAGACAGCAUUUCACAGAAUCAUGGAAUGGUUUGGGUUGGAAGGGACUUUAAACUCAUCCAUUUCCACCCCUGUCCUGGCAGGGACAUCUCCACUGUCCCAGGUGCUCCCAGCCCCAUCCAGCCUGGCUUUGGGCACUGCCAGGGAUCAGGGGCAGCCCCAGCUGCUCUGGGCACCUGAGCCAGCCCUCCCCACCCUCCCAGGGAGGAAUUCCUGCCCAAUAUCCCAUCUGAUUUGCUUUCAUUAGUUUAAAUACAAGAACCAAGAAUUCCUUUUGGCCCCAGGGGGUGACUGAGCAGCCCAGUCCCUCUGGGCUCUGGGGCCCUGUCCCUCUCUCCUGUGUGUUGGUGGUUCAGUGUCCUGCAACAGCAACAGUGCCAAGCUACUGUGUGUAAAUAUUUGAGACAUAUAAAUGGUAGAAUUCACUGUUUCCUCAAGUCAAUACAGUUUACACUGAGUGGACCAUAUUUGCAAACUAUUAGCUUACACCAAGAAAGGGAGUGAACUGUGAUUUCAUCUGUAUUUGUUGAAUCAUAAGUUUAGUAGCGUAUUUAGUAGAGUUGAUAGUGAUCUAUAGCUGUGUUUUGGGGUGUGGAUUAUGUUCUUUGCAGCUCGUGUUUUUGCACAAGGUAGUAAAUCCAGGAAGUCAUUUCUGCCUGGAUAUGCACUACAUUUUUCAGAGCAGUCAGAGACUAAAACUGCCAUCUAGCAAACAGCAGGAAAGAGGAACACUUCUAUUUUUCAAGUUUAGCACUUUAUGUUUGCAACCCAUUUCUCUUAAGUUAUUUAAAAACGUUUUUAAAAGCAAAAUUUAAUACAUGUGUUCCUAUUUACUGUACAUUAAAAUAAAUGGAUUCUCUGCUGGAAAUCUCAUCUUUUCCUCUAGUAUGCUCAUAAUUUGUACUUUUGGGGAGUGAAGCAUUGUUUUUUCCUUCUUCUGUGUAGUAUCUUGUUUGUGGCCUUAGUGUUCUUCCUAUUCCUUUAUCGGUGUGAGUUAUGCUGUAGCAGUUCAUGUGUGACUUGUGUGCUUUGGGGCUGCUCCAGGUGAUGCCCUGAGUGAAUCCCACCCUGCUCCUGCUGCCCCUGGCUCCAGGUGAUGCUCCUGAAUCCCACCCUGCUCCUGCUGCCCCUGGCUCCAGGUGAUGCUCUGAGUGAAUCCCACCCUGCUCCUGCUGCCCCUGGCUCCAGGUGAUGCUCCUGAAUCCCACCCUGUUCCUGCUGCCCCUGGCUCCAGGUGAUGCUCCUGUGUGUGUCCCACCCUGCUCCUGCUGCCCCUGGCUCCAGGUGAUGCUCUGAGUGAAUCCCACCCUGUUCCUGCUGCCCCUGGCUCCAGGUGAUGCUCUGAAUCCCACCCUGCUCCUGCUGCCUGUGCUGAGCUGCUGCAGGGUGAGGUUUUGUGGCACACACUGUUCUCUUCCUGUCCCCCUGCAGUAAUUGCAGGUGUGUCACAGCCCUCUCUGUCCCCUUCUCUCUGGAUUUCUCUCCCCACAGAGCUUGUCCUGUUGAUUUGUUUAGCUCAGCCCGUGGUGCAGUGGGAGCCCAGCCCUGCAUUCAGCAGCUCCAGGCUGUGCAGGGUGUGAUCAGAGCUGGCUGAGGGAGGGCAGCACCAUCCCUGGUGUCCCUGGUGGUCCUGGUGUCCCUGGCUGUGCUGGGAGCUGCUCCAGAGGGGUUUUCCUGUGCUCCCCAAUCCCAGCCAAACCCAGCCAGCCUCGGGCUCUGGAGCUGCCGAGGGGAGCUGGGUUAUGGGGGACCCCCAGCCCAGGGGAAUCCCUCAAGCUGCUCUGAGGGGUUCAGGUGUGAGAAAGCUGCUGCUUAAAACCCCCUGGUUUGCACAGGCACAGCCCUGCCCCAGGGAUCUGAGCCCUGCAGCUCCAUGUCCCAAGCUGUUCCUGUGGCAUUGGGCUCAUCCCACGGUGCCUGGGGCCAGCAGGAGCUGGAUGGGCUCCUCAUAAUAAAUAAAUAUAUAUUUAUUCCUCCUCAUAAUAAAUACAUUUAUUUAUUAUUAGUCAUUUCAUGAGUGUUAAACUCUAUGAUUUGCAUGAAAUCCUGUGGUUCACAGCUUUGCCAAUAUGGUCCAUUACUACUGCCUACGACAACUUGUGUACUUAUAUGCCUUCGAGAACAUUUUUAAUUGUUAAAAUUGUUUUAAAAAUCAGUGUUAAGUUAAUUUAAUUUUUAAUGGGGAAAUGAAUUCUGGUGUCAAAAUGGUAUUUACUGUGAUGCCGAUGUUUUGUACCUGUCAUCCAGCUAAACAACCUGUAAAUACUCCUGAGUCAAGAGAAAUAUGAAUGCCAAUUAUUUAUUGUUCUGUGGAGUUACAUGUCGCAGAUGUGUAAGAACUUAAAAGGGAAUGUUGUAAAACAAGGUGGAAAAAAUAAAUUUUAUUCAACUUCUUUACUUCCCCCCUGUAUGAUGCAGCUGGUCAGUCCUGGUGUGGUCAGCCAGGAAUUGUGUGUGGGAAUUGUCAGGAUCUGGAGAAGUUGUGCUGUGGCCCUUUAACCUUUAACCUGCAAAUCCAAGAAAUGAGCAGAGCUGCUUGGUUAAACUCUUCCUAGAGCUGGGUUUGGUUGUGACAGGGGUGGUCACUGCUGCUGGCAGCCACUGCUGGGAAUCAGGAGGGAAUUGUCAUUGGAACACAGAUAUAUCCUGCCCUGGGAAGAGCAGUGAUGCAACAGCAUUAGGAACAGCUAUUUUGGGAAUGUUCUCAUCCCUUGGCCAUUUGAUUCAGUCUGUGGCUCGGCACAAGAGCAGUCCCAGGGCCAGCAACAGGGGCAGAGGAAGGAUUUAACACUGAAUAUUCUCCACAGGGGACACGUCAAUAAU